rnacentral:rRNA from 1 species
GUGUUGAAACACCAGUUUUCAUACAAUCACCAAAGUUAAGCAAUGUUGAGCUGUUCAGUACCUAGAUGGGUGACUACUUGGGAAUACUAGAUGCUGUAAG